rnacentral:rRNA from 1 species
AUUGAACGCUGGCGGCAGGCCUAACACAUGCAAGUCGAGCGGAUGAAGGGAGCUUGCUCCUGGAUUCAGCGGCGGACGGGUGAGUAAUGCCUAGGAAUCUGCCUGGUAGUGGGGGAUAACGUCCGGAAACGGGCGCUAAUACCGCAUACGUCCUGAGGGAGAAAGUGGGGGAUCUUCGGACCUCACGCUAUCAGAUGAGCCUAGGUCGGAUUAGCUAGUUGGUGGGGUAAAGGCCUACCAAGGCGACGAUCCGUAACUGGUCUGAGAGGAUGAUCAGUCACACUGGAACUGAGACACGGUCCAGACUCCUACGGGAGGCAGCAGUGGGGAAUAUUGGACAAUGGGCGAAAGCCUGAUCCAGCCAUGCCGCGUGUGUGAAGAAGGUCUUCGGAUUGUAAAGCACUUUAAGUUGGGAGGAAGGGCAGUAAGCUAAUACCUUGCUGUUUUGACGUUACCAACAGAAUAAGCACCGGCUAACAUCGUG